rnacentral:misc_RNA from 1 species
AGCUGAUCAAAGUCUUAUAAAAAGAACAGAUUUCUAUGCUUAUGGAGGACAUGACUACACUGUCUUAGGGAGGACAUACCUAGACGCGACACUUCAAUAGGAGACUCAUCAGCGUGCCUUUACUGUUGGCAGAAGAAAGUUGAUAGUAGAUAGUAUUUUAUAGUACUUAGACUGUUCAGAUAAGCAAAAUUGUCGUAGGCUAGUAUUUUUUUUACUUUUAUGUUUAAUAUUUUUUUUGCUGCUGUACCUUAAGUCACACGUCAUCAAACAGUUUCAGUCUGGGGAAGAGCACGAGUUGGGGCUCGUCAACCGUGUGGUGAGUUUGUAAAUGCAUGACGUUGAGUUACUGGACGUUAUAUUCUCUUUAAGAUUAUGAGAUGUUAUUGCCGUGGGUAGUAACAGUUACAUCUUUGUUUCACUCACGUGCACAGUUCCCUGAUGAUCCGGCAACAUUGUGACACUCAACUUUUUAGCGGCGGAUCAUAAAUAAAUAAAGACGGUAUUAUAAGUUGCAGUGAAGAUUUUAUCGGUCUGAUAUUUUUAAAGCGCGAGAUAAAGAGGUACUGUAUAUCUUGAGGAUUGUUCUGUUCCUGUAGUUCUUAUUACAUUCUUCAUGAGGUGGUCAAGGUGUGGGGGACUGAUGUUUUAUUCUAAGCCAGCCCAGUAAACAGAUACCACAUGCAGAAGGAACAGUGUGAUCAAGAUAAAAUCUGAACCUAGGGAUACCAAUACUCACUGUACUGGAUGCAGUGGCGAGAAGAAAAAAAGAUUGAUAAAUUAUUAACAAUCUUCAUUGUCCACCAGCAUCACGACCCACUGGCUGAGCAACGUCUUGUAUUUCCAAAGAAUAAACAAAUAAAACUUUGGCUGGCGAAAAAAGUCGUUUGAGCUUAUGAGGAUUUUUUUGAACUUGUGCAAUCGUCUUGGUUUGUGUGACACGUGUGUAGACACAUUGUAAAUACCAAGAGCUCUUCAGUAAUAGAUAAGUGAACUUCAUUGCAAGUGACAAUAUUCAUGAAGCGCUACAAAUGUUACAAAAGGCAUAGUUAGAAACAUUUUUAGCAAGAGGUAAAAUACCCCCCUCCCCACUAAGCAGCAUCCGUUUUCCAGAAAUCAAAAUGGAAAUUAAAAUAAAAAUAGAGAUCUAGUAAGGAGCGGAAGCAGCACUACAUGCAGGUGACCUGCAGGUGUAAGUGAAGUGCCACGUCUCCAUUGCUGCACCUUGUUGCACAGAAUUACAGACUCAUUUAAGUUGCCAAAGACAAUGGCAAACCAUGCUGCUGUACAGCAGGAAGCUCGUGAGUUACGGGACAUCAUACGAAAGAUCAUCACAGAACUGGACGAACAUCACCGCAAUGUGAACAUCGCCACGGCUACUGGCAGCGCCGCAUCGUUUCUUGGUGGAGUGAUGACUGUAGCUUCCGCCAUCUUGGCUAUCCCAACUGGAGGCCUGACCUUGCCCUUGGCUGGUGCUGGCGCCAUCUUGGCAGGUGCUGGAGAUGACUGAGUGCGACUAACGUCUACGUGUAGAGCGGAGAUGUGUGAGAGUGUGUUUAUAGAAGACUUUCGUGUGGAGUAUCCACUGGUCAUUGUGUCUUUUUGUAGAUUUUGGAUUAUUACUCUGAAAAGCGAGGUUGUGGUUCCUAUUUAGUACAUUGUCAUCAUCAUACUAUACAUAAGGCAUUUUUACAAGGAAACAGCAAUGUUUAGGUUUUAGCUUUGUAGAGUUUACAAAUAGUAGUCUACCUAUCGCAAUGCCAUUUCAUGAAAUAGAGCUUAUGUCUUGGAUUGCUGUUUUGUCCAUUGAUCAUCAUGUAAAUGUCAUGUGACUAGAAAUGCACCAAGUUCGCUCUACAGAACUAGCAAAAAUGAUGUAGAUGUAGUAUUUUUUGUUCGCUUAUUAAAAAGAAUUAUAGAAAAGUGGUAAAUCUAAUCAAUGUUAAUGCAAGCAAACUCACAUGUGAAAGAUUUACUAAAAGCAUAAACAACACCUAACUGUAGAUAUGUCGAUGUUGUCACAUGAGCAACAUUAUGAAGAGCAGUGUUGUGCCUAAAGGGACAUAAUAAAACAUUUGUCUAUGCUUGCUUGAUGUUAAUUCUCUCCCUUUAAUACAUUUUCAUUUCCGCACGCAUUCGUCAGUCACCAGUUGAGGACUAAAGAACACUUAAAGAUGUGGUAAGGCAAAGUGUGUGGUAAUCGGCGUGGGACUCAUGUCAUGUCUCUUCAACCUCACCUGUUGCUGAAACACAUUUACUAAGCAAAGGAAACAUUAUUUACCCAAUUUUUUUAAAAAGACUACUGACACUUUACUGAAAGCAUUGAAACUACUCCUAGAAAUUUUUACAUCACGAAUCGUCUUUCUUUAAAAGUUGUACUUGAAAUUUGAGGAUGGAUGCGGGGAAGGGAAUUUGUCUGGCCUGUCGUCAGUGAAUGGCAUCUGAUCUCUCAGUAUCUGAUAACGAUUAUAGACAAGGUGGCUUAGGCUCUGCUUUCUGCAAACAAAUUUAGAGCUCACUGUACUUACGUUUUCAAGAGCAAUCCCUACAUCGUCUGUCAACAUUUGAUAUAUUGUUUCAUUCCAAUCAUUAUUUAUGCGCGGAGUCACAACAGUGACAUUUGGCGGCUGACAGGUGAUACUCGGCAUCUUAACAUGAAAGGUAGGGGGUAAGGGGGUUAGUCUAGUCAGAAGUAAAAUUGAGGAAUAAUGUCAGGUAUUUGCUGUGCUGUCUGUACCAGUCCCCAGGCACCUGAUUAGUGCGCUUCACUGGAGAAUAAAAGAAAAGAACUGUUUGAGGCCUUCUCGGGAAUGUAAUUUGAAACACCGCUCCCCCUCCAUUCAGCCCCCAAUAAGUUGUACAGAAAAACUAACUAAAUUCCUGGUUUGUCAAGAUAGGUAGAAAAUGCGUUCACUGAUCUUACGACCACAAACAAACGACACUUAUUUCUUGAAAUAAAGUGAUAUCUGAAAUA